rnacentral:lncRNA from 1 species
CUCCUAAGCCCAGAGAAGAGCUAUGGCUCAGCCUCUGCAUCUCCUGACCUUCCUUCUGCUCUGAAACGGCUCUAACAGAUUCAAGCUCCUCACUCUCACACAGCCACAGUCAGAGGCAAAAGUCAGUUGGCAACUUGGGGCAGGAGUUUCUCUUGUCCCUCCUUCCUCUUGUCAGAAUGAAAGUCAUUCUCAGAAGCUUCCAGAAAACUUUUCUUACCUAUCAUUGGCCAGAACAGGGUCACCUGCCCAUCACUCACAAGAUCAGGCAAAUACCCCACCUACAUCCCAGAUAUCAGGUAUCUCAUCUUGGCAGUAGGACCAGGCAGGGCUCUGUUAGUAAGAAGAGGGGAGGCUCUGAAGGAGGAAGUGGAUGGUGUUGAUCCCAGUAUUUUAUUUCUCCACUCCUUCUGUGUCUUCCUUAGGGAACUAGUUAUCUACAUGUUUGAUUCCCAUUGUCAGUCCAUUUUGCUCAACUGUUUCCCUCUUGUUUUCCAUGUUAUUUUCUCAUCCUGUUUUUCACAUCACUGACAGAGUUUUCUGUCAUGUUGAUUCUGUUCUUUGUAGUUUUUAGAUUCUGCAAAAGAAUUAAUUCUCUCCUCAAUUAUUUUCUGAGCUGCUGGAUCCUCCAACCCACUUCAUAUUCUGAUAUUUUAGUUCAUCUUUCAUCUCCUGUUUCAUCAGUCUUUUGCAAACUCUUGUUUCUUUCUUUUACUUUGUAGGAUCAAAUAUUUGUGUAGGCCUCUGCUAGCUUUUUUUUUUUUCCUGCUUUUUCAUGUUUGAUUGGAGUCUUUCUGUUUGUUCUGCUGUUUGCCUUGGCAAACCUGUGCGUUUGCAUUCCUUUGACCCUGCCUUCUGUCAGGACCCUGAAGUCUGAGCACAUGAGUUAGAGACCUACAUGUAAUGGCUUGUGUUCUUUGUGUGGUCUCACAGCUGCCUGGUGAGGGUGGGAGGAGAGCAUGGGCUCUGGGCAAUGGAAGUUGGAGAACCCUGCCUGCUCCACUUGCUCCAGUUCUAUGAAAACCACAGAGAAACAGUCUCCUCUGGGUGGGUCUUCCUGUUUCACUAGGAGUGCCUGUGUGGUUCUGCUCCUUUCCCCUCCUCCCUGUCACCCUGGGCCGGCUGUGAUGUGGCCUCCUUGUGGGUCAUGGACUUUCUGUCUCCUCACCCCUCUGCCCCGUGUCUGCUGCCUUUACCAUCUGGGUCUAUUGCUCCUGGAAUGGCGUUUCUCAAACUGACUCCCGUAAGAGAAAUACAUUCCAAGACAGAGAAGGUACAGAAGACUCUGGGAUCACCAGACUUCAGAGCAUGUUCAUGCUUUAUGAAGUAAAUACAAUUCUU